GGGGCGGUAGCUCAGUUGGUAGAGCGCCAGCUUUGCAAGCUGGAUGUCGCGUGUUCGAAUCACGUCCGCUCCA
rnacentral:tRNA from 3 species